AGUGAACGCUGGCGGUAGGCCUAACACAUGCAAGUCGAACGGCAGCACAGUAAGAGCUUGCUCUUACGGGUGGCGAGUGGCGGACGGGUGAGGAAUACAUCGGAAUCUACUUUUUCGUGGGGGAUAACGUAGGGAAACUUACGCUAAUACCGCAUACGACCUAAGGGUGAAAGCAGGGGAUCUUCGGACCUUGCGCGAUUGAAUGAGCCGAUGUCGGAUUAGCUAGUUGGCGGGGUAAAGGCCCACCAAGGCGACGAUCCGUAGCUGGUCUGAGAGGAUGAUCAGCCACACUGGAACUGAGACACGGUCCAGACUCCUACGGGAGGCAGCAGUGGGGAAUAUUGGACAAUGGGCGCAAGCCUGAUCCAGCCAUACCGCGUGAGUGAAGAAGGCCUUCUGGCUGUAAAGCCCUUUUGUUGGGAAAGAAAAGCAGCAUGUUAAUACCCCGCUGUUCUGACGGUACCCAAAGAAUAAGCACCGGCUAACUUCGUG
rnacentral:rRNA from 1 species